AUUAAAGAGCAGUUAAAAAAACUCCAGAAACAACAUUGUUGUUCUGUGUCUCUGACAGGGUUCUGACCUGGGGGUCAGCCAGCCCUGGCGGCGGUGGGGGGCGGGGGGUUGGACUCCAGAGGGAUGAAUGGGCCAUCUCAAAACCCAGGGGCUCCCAGUCAAGGUCCCAGCUCAUCCUCCAGCCCCAUUGGGAGCUAACCUGGUCCGUCGUGAUUACUUGGAAGGAAGAAGAAUUCCAUUCCAGAAGAUUCCAAGCCAUUCUUUGGUAGACACGGUCUCACUGGGAGGUGUCCUUCAUGGUGACCCUGAUCAGGGUUCUUGGCCUUCCCCAACCAAUACAAAUGGACUAGAGGUCAGACAAGAAAUUCAGAAAAGCUCUUCCCUCUGGAGUCCAGCUUCCAUUCCCAUCCUGUUUCCGGAAGGCAAAAUCAAAGGAGGAUAAGAAGAUCCUGAGGAUGGAAAAUAGAAAAAGAAAACCUAAAACCGUAUCAAGCAAAAGUUCACGAAUCACAUUUUACUUACACACACAGUGGGGAAGGGUUGGUGCAGAAGGCUUUGUGGUGUGUGGGCUCAUGAGAACUAAUCUAUUGCUUUUCAGGGAUUUUGCAAGCCAGCUUGCAAAACACAGCCAUUAAUGAAAAUUAAGAG
rnacentral:lncRNA from 1 species